rnacentral:rRNA from 1 species
UACAGAGGUGGCAAGCGUUGUUCGGAAUUACUGGGCGUAAAGGGCGCGUAGGCGGUUCGUUAAGUCCUGUGUGAAAUCCCCGGGCUCAACCUGGGAACUGCAUUUGUGACUGCAUCGCUGGAGUGCGGCAGAGGGGGAUGGAAUUCCGCGUGUAGCAGUGAAAUGCGUAGAUAUGCGGAGGAACACCGAUGGCGAAGGCAAUCCCCUGGGCCUGCACUGACGCUCAUGCACGAAAGCGUGGGGAGCAAACAGG